rnacentral:rRNA from 1 species
UACGGAGGGUGCAAGCGUUAAUCGGAAUUACUGGGCGUAAAGCGCACGCAGGCGGGAUGGCAAGUUGAAUGUGAAACCUAUGGGCUCAACCCAUAGACUGCGUUCAAAACUGCUGUUCUUGAGUGAUGGAGAGGCAGGCGGAAUUCCCGGUGUAGCGGUGGAAUGCGUAGAUAUCGGGAGGAACACCAGUGGCGAAGGCGGCCUGCUGGACAUUAACUGACGCUGAGGCUCGAAAGUAUGGGGAGCAAACAGG